rnacentral:rRNA from 1 species
UACGGAGGGGGCUAGCGUUGUUCGGAAUUACUGGGCGUAAAGCGCGCGUAGGCGGACCUGCAAGUCGGGGGUGAAAGCCCGAGGCUCAGCCUCGGAACUGCCUUCGAUACUGCGGGUCUCGAGUCCGGGAGAGGUGAGUGGAAUUCCUAGUGUAGAGGUGAAAUUCGUAGAUAUUAGGAAGAACACCAGUGGCGAAGGCGGCUCACUGGCCCGGUACUGACGCUGAGGCGCGAAAGCGUGGGGAGCAAACGGG